rnacentral:rRNA from 1 species
GACGAACCGUGCGAACGUUAUUCGGAAUCACUGGGCUUAAAGGGCGCGUAGGCGGGCGGCCAAGUCAGGGGUGAAAUCGUUCGGCCCAACCGGACAAGGGCCCCUGAUACUGGCUGUCUCGAGGGAGGUAGGGGUCGAUGGAACUUCCGGUGGAGCGGUGAAAUGCGUAGAUAUUAGGAAGAACACCAGUGGCGAAGGCGGCUCACUGGCCCGGUACUGACGCUGAGGCGCGAAAGCGUGGGGAGCAAACAGG